CCCCACAACACCCCCCACCACCACCACUGCUCUGAGGCUCCAGCACUUUAUUGAGCCCAGCAGCACGUGGGAUGGUAGCUAGGACACAUGGCAGCACAAGCUCCGAUCUGCUCACCUGUGUCACAGCUCACCAGAUGAGUAUCCUCCAGCACCCUCAGAGGGAAACCUGGGAGCUGACAAAAGCCUUCAUCACUGCGGAGUGGGGAAAUGUUUUUUUCACUCCAAACAGCAUCUGGGAGAAGGGACAUGAAGAGGGAGUCCCAGGCCAACUGCUGGUGGAGAAGCAUCCCUACAGCAAGAGUGA